UACGGGGGGGGCAAGCGUUGUUCGGAAUUACUGGGCGUAAAGGGCUCGUAGGUGGCCAACUAAGUCAGACGUGAAAUCCCUCGGCUUAACCGGGGAACUGCGUCUGAUACUGGAUGGCUAGAGUUUGGGAGAGGGAUGCAGAAUUCCAGGUGUAGCGGUGAAAUGCAUAGAUAUGACCCGGAACACCGAUUGCGAAGGCAGCCCACUAAGCAAUGAUUGACGCUGAGGCACGAAAGCGUGGGGAUCAAACAGG
rnacentral:rRNA from 1 species